rnacentral:lncRNA from 1 species
CGGUGAACUGAUGAGCGCCUCAGGCAACAUAGUUCGUAUCACAAGCUACAAGACACCAUCAGACGAGCAGAGGGCUGUAACGCCGAGGAGGACAUAAGCAGUUUUUAAAGAAAAAAACUCUUGAAAGGGGGGCCCAUUGUCAUGAGUAAAGGGUCACGGGGCGCGUGCCGGACGGCGGAAUGCGUC